GGAGAGGUGGCCGAGUGGCUGAAGGCAGCGCUUUGCUAAAGCGCCAUACGGCGAAAGUUGUAUCAAGGGUUCGAAUCCCUUCCUCUCCG
rnacentral:tRNA from 2 species